GACGAACGCUGGCGGCGUGCUUAACACAUGCAAGUCGAACGGAGUGGCGAAAGGGUGAGUAACACGUGGGUGAUCUGCCUUGCACUCUGGGAUAAGCUUGGGAAACUGGGUCUAAUACCGGAUAGUGCAAGAUGAGCUCGCGGCCUAUGAGCUUGUUGGUGGGGUAAUGGCCUACCAAGGCGUCGACGGUUAGCCGGCCUGAGAGGGUGUACGGCCACACUCGGGCUGAGCGACGGCCCCGAUGCCUACGGGGGGCAGCAGUGGGGAAUAUUGCACAAUGUGCGGAAGCCUGAUGCAGCGACGCCGCGUGGGGGAUGACGGCCUUCGGGUUGUAAACUCCUUUCGACAGGGACGCGGUACCUGUAUCAGAAGCACCGGCUAACUACGUGCCAGCAGCCGCGGUAAUUC
rnacentral:rRNA from 1 species